UGGGGGAUAUUGCACAAUGGGCGAAAGCCUGAUGCAGCGACGCCGCGUGGGGGAUGAAGGCCUUCGGGUUGUAAACUUCUUUUGCUCUGAACAAGGCAUGCUAAUGGGUGUGUUGAGUGUAGGGGUUGAUUAGCGCCGGCUAACUACGUGCCAGCAGCCGCGGUAAUACGUAGGGCGCGAGCGUUGUCCGGAAUUAUUGGGCGUAAAGGGCUUGUAGGUGGCUGGUUGCGUCUGUCGUGAAAGCUCAUGGCUUAACUGUGGGUUUGCGGUGGGUACGGGCUGGAUUGAGUGCAGUAGGGGAGGCUGGAAUUCCUGGUGUAGCGGUGGAAUGCGCAGAUAUCAGGAGGAAUACCGGUGGCGAAGGCGGGUCUCUGGGCUGUUACUGACACUGAGGAGCGAAAGCAUGGGGAGCGAACAGG
rnacentral:rRNA from 1 species